rnacentral:lncRNA from 1 species
CCUGUCUGAAAACGGCCUGCAAUCACUUCCCGACGAGAUUGGGAGUCUGUAUAACUGUAUGGAGCUGGAUCUCUCAGGGAAUCAAUUGAUGGGCGUCCCUGAUUCACUUGCCAAUUUGCGGUCUCUGCAGCAGCUGCAUCUUCACAGCAAUCUCCUGGUGACUGUCCCCGCAUCCCUUGCCAGCCUUCCCAACUUGUCCAGGCUUGACUUGCAGAACAACUGGCUCCGCUCCAUCCCCCCCCGAGAUCCAGCACUCUCCCUUCAUGCACCUGCGGGGCAAUCCGCUAGGAGAACCUGAGAUCCCCCUGCAAUCUGAUGAAUCCAGCUCAGGAGAGCUAGGAAGAGUGUUCCUUGUACCCAAUGAGGACAGGUAUUUCACGCAGUGUCUCUGUUAUUUUUGUUACUAUUUAUUAUUUUGUAGUGCAGUAGCACUUAGAUGCCUUAGUCAAGAUUAGGGUCUCAUUUUGCUAGGUGCUGUACAUACACAUUAUUAGGGAUAGUCUCUGCCCCAAAUUGUUUCCAGUCCAAAUAGACAAGUCAGAGUUUUACUCCAUUACAUGCAGGUCACG